rnacentral:rRNA from 1 species
ACGGGAGGCAGCAGUGGGGGAUAUUGCACAAUGGGGGAAACCCUGAUGCAGCGACGCCGCGUGAGUGAAGAAGUAUUUCGGUAUGUAAAGCUCUAUCAGCAGGGAAGAAAAUGACGGUACCUGACUAAGAAGCCCCGGCUAACUACGUGCCAGCAGCCGCGGUAAUACGUGGGGGGCAAGCGUUAUCCGGAUUUACUGGGUGUAAAGGGAGCGUAGACGGUUUUGCAAGUCUGAAGUGAAAUGCCGGGGCUCAACCCCGGAACUGCUUUGGAAACUGUAGAACUAGAGUGCAGGAGAGGUAAGUGGAAUUCCUAGUGUAGCGGUGAAAUACGUAGAUAUUAGGAGGAACACCAGUGGCGAAGGCGGCUUACUGGACUGUAACUGACGUUGAGGCUCGAAAGCGUGGGGAGCAAACAGGAUUAGAUACCCUGGUA